AGUGCAUUUCAAUUUCAAAACGCAUUUUCGCCAUUUGAUGAUUACCUUUCCGGCGCAAAUACGGGAGCCCACUGUUUCGUAUCUCUGUCGGUGACCGAAGGCGAAUUUACUAAACAUGUCAAAAUGACAAACCGUCCGGAACACACGCACGAAAAAAAAAAAAAAGUAAAUAUGAGGAUCAAAAAGGGGAAAAGAAAGAUACUGGUGUUUAAUGAAGUCCAACCACUCACUUGCUAACUGCUUCAACAUGAUGGAGGGGUCGCCAUAGAAAAUCUUGCCCAGGGCGCCACAUUGACUCGGGCCAGCCAUGGAUAAAGGUAAGAGAGGAGACUCAAAAGUAUACACCGCAGAAGUUACACAAAAUAACCAUCAAUUCCCCCUCUGUCUCGAAGACCGUGCAAGAUCUUGCGUAGUGGUGUGAGCAUGAUCCUGACAAAGUGCCCACAAGGUCCCCUGAAAAUGGCCUCGGUGAACAUCUAAAUGACUCAGAGGACGCCUGGGGAGAAGUUCAAUGGCCAGAUGAAACCAAAGUUUGAACUAUUCGAUACAGACCUGACCCGGCGCGUUCAGAGGAUGAAAGAAAUCGGAAUUUGAACCACAGAACACCCCCGCGCUCAAGUGCAGGUGUAAUGAUGUGACCUUUUUGGAGUGUUUAUCCUUCAAAGUGCCAUUCAUUGAUGUUUAAUUAAGACCAUAUACGGGUGCGUAUUCAAUCUCUAGCAGUAACCCCAGAGCCUUUAAGACUUGUUAAACACAGAAAAUCGGUGUGCUCUAAAUUCCAGGCGGAUAACCGGGAAGGCAUGUGUGGAAUUCCAGUGCGCCAAGGUGAAAAAUGGUCCUCACUCCAAAAUUGGAGUGAGGACAGGCAUUUUUUUUGGGAGGGCGUUUCAUUUCCUCUGAUUGAAGGAUGCAUCACAAUUUAGAGGUUUUGGGUUCGAAUUCCCUCUCAGGCCUUUUUGGAUUUUCUCCGGGCACUUGAGCUUCCUCUCAAUUUCUAAAAACAUGCGUUUUCACUUGAUUGAAGACGAAAUUAUUGUUUCCUGGCAUAGGCUCCAACUCAGAAUCCGU